rnacentral:rRNA from 1 species
UACGUAGGGCGCAAGCGUUGUCCGGAAUUAUUGGGCGUAAAGAGCGUGUAGGCGGCCAGGGAGGUCCGUUGUGAAAACUCGAGGCUUAACCUCGAGAUGUCGGCGGAAACCAUCUGGCUAGAGUCCGGAAGAGGAGAGUGGAAUUCCUGGUGUAGCGGUGAAAUGCGCAGAUAUCAGGAAGAACACCAGUGGCGAAGGCGGCUCACUGGCCCGGUACUGACGCUGAGGAGCGAAAGCAUGGGGGAGCGAACAGGG